ACCGAAUAGAUACCCGGGUAGUCUUGGCCCUAAACGAUGUUCACUAGGUGUCGGGGAUUUUUCUUCGGUGCCGCAGCUAAACGCAUUAAAGUGAACCGCCUGGGGACUACGGCCGCAAGGUUGAAACUCAAAGGAAUUGGCGGGGCCCGCACAAGCGGUGGAGCAUGUGGCUUAAUUCGAUGCAACGCGAAGAACCUUACCAGGGUUUGACAUGUAACUGCAAGCUCCCGAAAUGGAGUCGCUUUCGAAGGUGUUACACAGGUGGUGCAUGGCUGUCGUCAGCUCGUGUUGUGAAAUGUUGGGUUAAGUCCCGCAACGAGCGCAACCCUCAUGUUCUGUUGCCAGCGGGUAAUGCCGGGAACUCGGAACAAACUGCCUCUGUAAAGAGGAGGAAGGUGGGGAUGACGUCAAGUCUUCAUGCCCCUUACACCCUGGGCUGCACACAUGCUACAAUGGCCGGUACAAAGAGCAGCGACACCGCGAGGUAGAGCAAAUCUCAAAAAGCCGGUCUCAGUUCGGAUUGGAGUCCGCAACUCGACUCC
rnacentral:rRNA from 1 species